UGGAAUUCUACCCCCCUCUGCCAGAUUCUAGCCUUGCAGUCUCCAAUGCAAUUCCCAGGUUGAGCCCGGGGAUUUCACAUCAGACCUACAAAACCGCCUGCGCACGCUUUACGCCCAGUAAUUCCGAUUAACGCUUGCACCCUACGUAUUACCGCGGCUGCUGGCACGUAGUUAGCCGGUGCUUAUUCUUCAGGUACCGUCAUUAGCAAGAGAUAUUAGCUCUCAUCGUUUCUUCCCUGACAAAAGAGCUUUACAACCCGAAGGCCUUCUUCACUCACGCGGCAUUGCUGGAUCAGGCUUUCG
rnacentral:rRNA from 1 species